rnacentral:misc_RNA from 1 species
AAAUGAGAGCUCUUCUGGGUUUUGCUUCUGAAAUGGAUUUUUGUUAGCUCAAAGAUUAUAGACGUCUUAUUUCUAUUUUAGGAUUUUUAUCUGAUUUUGAUUUAUUGAAUCUAGUUUCACUUAAAAAACUCAGUCUAUGUUUUUGCACUUUUCUUAGUGUUGUCUUUUUUUUUUAUUCCUUCUGCUAUGUCUUGUUAGGUACCUGUUAUUUUACCUCUUCAAAAUCAAUGCUGGUUUUGGAAAUGGGAUUGGUGCAUCUAGGUAAAUACUCUCAUGUUUUAUCUGUUUAUAAUCUUCGUUGUAAGGUCUGGUCGCCCUGUCCAUGGGAAUUAGUCGAGUCUUAAAGGAGCGGUUGUUAAUUUAGCCAGGAUAAUAAGUAAAUGUUUUGGAGAAAAGUCAGCGUACUGUCUUUGUUAGUGAAAAAAUUUUCCAUGGAUCUCAGUAUGAUAAGGCAUAAUUUCACCUUGCUGUGUCUAUAUAUUUCUUCAUCCUCUGGUCUUUUUGAUCUGAAAUUUCAUCUGCCAUUUUGCCUUGUAUUUAGGCAUUUAGGGUGCUGAUAUUAUGCAUAUUUCCCAAGCAGUAAUGUUUCAAUGGAGUUAUUGAUUGGUUUUUAAUACUUAUGUUUCAUGGCCAUACUAUAUAUAAUGUUUGUGGGGCAUUUUAUUUCAUUACUCCUUUCACUCUUGAGAUCAGGAAGAUCUUUCUUCAAUGCUUGUAAGACUAGGAAUGCCUUGUUUAUACGUGUGAUUUAGUUGGUGCAUUAUUGGUCAUGCUAUUUCUUUGGUGGAAUGAGUUGAGAGUUUUAGUUACUUCUCUGGAAGAUGAGAGUCUAUCAAUUGAAUGUGUGUCUCUAUUUUCUGUGUUAUGGUGGGUCUCUUGCGUACAUCUUUCAAUUGCUUUGGAAGUUGCUUGCAUCUAUGUGCGUAUUUUGUAACUAUCUUUGUGAAAAAGAAAUUUGAUUGCAUUUUGCGACAGUGAUUAUAGAGAAAUGAACCAUUCAUAUUAUUUUAGUGCAGCUACCGCUAUCUUGUGUUGUUUACAUUACGUAAAAUGUGUCAAUAAUUCGAAUGGCAUUAACAAUUGAUGGUUGUUUUUGUAGCCUGAUAUGGCUGUUCUCAACUUGAUAUCGAAGUAACAAUUCUGGCUGAACCCACCCAGUCUAGAUUAGUUUAUCAGUAUGGUGAACGAAAGGGAAUGGGCUUGAUUGUGGUUUAAAGGCGUCGCUAUAAAUUUGAGCAGUCCCGGAUUUUUAAGAAGCAAUAUCCAUCUGGCCACUUGCAGCGAGGCACCUCAUCAAUUUAAACCUAGGAUGUGUUUUGAUGGAUAUUCAAACAGCUGAAGUAUUUGGUAAAACUUUAAAAAAUUAGCUGAUAGCUGAAAGCAGCUGUUAAGAUAUUUAUCAGCUGAAGAUUCUAUUAGUUUUAAAAUAGGAGCUGUUUAGAACUAUUUUUUUUAUUUUUUGACUAAAAUAUUUCUACUCUAAUAUUUAUGCAGUGUCAUCCAUUGUAUUAUCUUUUUGCUUCUAUUUGAAUUAAAAUAUCGAUUUCUUUUCAA